AAAAUAAAAAAAAAAUAAUUUUCAGAAUUUUUUUUUUUUAAAAAAAGAAAUAAACCUAUCGCGACGAAAUUUCGUCGGCAUAGGUCUAUGCCGACAAAAUUUGCCGGAUUAGGUUUGCGCCGACGAAAUUUGAGUUUUUCGUCGGCAU